GACGAACGCUGGCGGCGUGCCUAAUACAUGCAAGUAGAACGCUGAAGGAGGAGCUUGCUUCUCUGGAUGAGUUGCGAACGGGUGAGUAACGCGUAGGUAACCUGCCUGGUAGCGGGGGAUAACUAUUGGAAACGAUAGCUAAUACCGCAUAAGAGUAGAUGUUGCAUGACAUUUGCUUAAAAGGUGCAAUUGCAUCACUACCAGAUGGACCUGCGUUGUAUUAGCUAGUUGGUGGGGUAACGGCUCACCAAGGCGACGAUACAUAGCCGACCUGAGAGGGUGAUCGGCCACACUGGGACUGAGACACGGCCCAGACUCCUACGGGGAGCAGCAGGAGGGGAUCUUCGGCAAUGGACGGAAAGCUGACCGAGGAACGCCGCGGGAGGGAAGAAGGGUUUCGGAUCGGAAAGCUCGGUUGUAAGAGAAGAACGAGGAUGAGAGUAGAAAGUUCACACUGUGACGGUAUCUGACCAGAAAGGGACGGCUAACUACGUG
rnacentral:rRNA from 1 species